AGUGAACGCUGGCGGCAGGCCUAACACAUGCAAGUCGAGCGGCAGCGCGGGGGCAACCCUGGCGGCGAGCGGCGGACGGGUGAGGAAUUCGUCGGAAUCUGCCUUUUUGUGGGGGAUAACGUAGGGAAACUUACGCUAAUACCGCAUACGUCCUACGGGAGAAAGUGGGGGACCGCAAGGCCUCACGCAGCAAGAUGAGCCGACGACCCAGUAGCUAGCUGGGGGGGUUAAGGCCCACCAAGGCGACGAGCGGUAGCUGGUCUGAGAGGAGGAGCAGCCACACUGGGACUGGGACGCGGCCCAGACCUAUGGGGGGAGCAGCGGUAAGAAAAAGUGAACGAUGGGCCCAGGCCCGAUCGAGCCAUGACGGAUGGGAGAAGAAAGCCCUCGGGUUGUAAAGCACUUUUGUCCGGAAAGAAAGCCCUGGAGCUACUACCUUAGGCGGAUCACCGGAACGGAAGAACAAGCAACGGCUAACCUCGUGA
rnacentral:rRNA from 1 species